GCCGGAUCUAAAAUUACAAGUUGUGACAUCUGGAUUUGUUUUUCCCCUUAAUGUGUGGUCAAUAUUACUAUCUAGGCUUCACGCUGCCCUUGCACUGUUAUCAGCUAUGCUAGAAUCUGCAGAUUCGGCGGCAGCCACCGCAAUCAUUUAUCCCAGAGGAAGUAUUGAUCAAUUAUCAAAUUUAACACUGUAUUAUCUAUGAAACCAUAGCAACAGAAACAAGAAUUGUUUAUGGCAUAAAUUAAACAGACUAUUUCCCGCAAAUUUUGUGUGUGGUGGGAAGCUAGCUUGGGCUAUUAUUUUGGGUAUGUUAGCAUCUGCUGAUUCAGCCACCUUUUGCCAUGAUUUGUAGAGUAAACCUGUCACUCAACAGUGUGAUCGCUAGUUUAUUUUUGCUAUCCAUCGGCUAUGCCUUGGUUCUUCUUUUGGCAGCUUGUAGAAUACUGACCCCUUCUUUUGCCUCCUCUUGUUGUGGCACCAUUUACUCUAAUUAGCGGCACGUUUUCUAUACCGCCAAACUGCUACUUGUUUACGUUUCGCUCAGUGCAUUUGGGGACGCGUGACGUCAACGUCUGGAGCUUUAUAGGGCGACGUCAUGAAAGGGGUGUACCAGCCACAUUGGAAUACGUGUUGUUUUAGUAAACCAGGAGUCUUACUUCCGGGUUAGAAAAGGAGCCACUAAAAUAAUUCAGAUUUCAUAAGAAAUUAGAUUGCCGUUGUGCCGAUGUGAUAUACAGUAUAAUCAUAUAUAUGCUUAUAGUUGAAAUUGUUGGAAGCUUAACCCUUUCAGGGACAGCGGUUACUACAGUGGACAGCUUAUCAUGUUAUCAGGUUACAGGGUGUAUGAAAGGUCUGACAUAGCACGAUAUGGCCCCUUUAAGAUAAUGGCCCAGCAUGGGGUUCAGUGAAAGUCGUGCACACGCUCAGGGUCAUCAUGAAGAGCCGGAACACAAUCUACAGCAGACAAAGAGAAAAUAAGAGGUGCAUAUUUAUGUCAUGGCCCAGCAUACACGUUAACAAACGUGUGAUCCAUUGAGGGUUGCAUCAAGACUACUUUUAUGAAAGACUUCAAACAGAAACACAUCAAUAACCUAAAAUCAGG